GACGAACGCUGGCGGCGUGCUUAACACAUGCAAGUCGAACGAUGAAACCUAGCUUGCUAGGUCGAUUAGUGGCGAACGGGUGAGUAACACGUGACUAACCUGCCCCUUUCUCUGGGAUAACGCUCCGAAAGGAGUGCUAAUACCGGAUACUCACACCGAGGCACAUGCCUUGGCGUGGAAAGUUUUUCGGAAAGGGAUGGAGUCGCGGCCUAUCAGCUUGUUGGUGAGGUAACGGCUCACCAAGGCGACGACGGGUAGCCGGCCUGAGAGGGGGACCGGCCACACUGGGACUGAGACACGGCCCAGACUCCUCCGGGAGGCAGAAGUGGGGAAUAUCGCACAAUGGGCGCAAGCCUGAUGCAGCGACGCCGCGUGAGGGAUGAAGGUCUUCGGAUUGUAAACCUCUUUCAGUAGGGACGAAGCGAAAGUGACGGUACCUAAAGAAGAAGCACCGGCUAACUACGUGCCAGCCGCCGCAGUAA
rnacentral:rRNA from 1 species